rnacentral:rRNA from 1 species
AUUGAACGCUGGCGGCAGGCCUAACACAUGCAAGUCGAGCGAGCGGCGGACGGGUGAGUAAUGCCUGGGAAUUGCCCAGUCGAGGGGGAUAACAGUUGGAAACGACUGCUAAUACCGCAUACGAUUGGAUUGCCCAGGUGGGAUUAGCUAGUUGGUGAGGUAAUGGCUCACCAAGGCGACGAUCCCUAGCUGGUCUGAGAGGAUGAUAAGCCAACCUGGAAAGUAGACACGGUCCAGACUCCGACGGGAGGCAGCAGUGGGAGAUAUUGCACAAUGGGGGAACCUCUGAUGCAGCCAUGCCGCGUGUGUGAAGAAGGCCUUCAGGUUGUAAAGCACUUUCAGCGAGGAGGCGUUACUCGCAGAAUAAGCACCGGCUAACUCCGUGCCAGCAGGCGCGGUAAUUC